CCUACGGGAGGCAGCAGUGAGGAAUAUUGGUCAAUGGGCGGAAGCCUGAACCAGCCAAGCCGCGUGAAGGAAGAAGGUACAGCGCAUCGUAAACCUCUUUUGUCAGGGGACAAAAGCGGGGACUAGUCCCCGGAUGAGGGUACCUGAAGAAAAAGCAUCGGCAAACUCCGUGCCAGCAGCCGCGGUAAUACGGAGGAUGCGAGCGUUAUCCGGAUUUGUGGGGUUUAAAGGGUGGGAAGGCGGCCUGUUAAGUCAGCGGUAAAAGCCCGGGGCUCAACCCCGGCGAGCAGUUGAAACUGGCCGGCUGGAGUUGGAGAGAGGUACGCGGAAUGCGCGGUGUAGCGGUGAAAUGCUUAGAGAUCGGGCAGAACACCGAUGGCGAAGGCAGCGUACCGGCUGAACACUGACGCUGAGGCACGAAAGCGUGGGUAUCGAACAGGAUUAGAUACCCCAGUAGUC
rnacentral:rRNA from 1 species